rnacentral:sRNA from 1 species
GUUUUUUCCACCCCUUUACCCCCUUCUCUUACAAAAACCCACCCCAUACUAGAAUUUAUAUUCUUUCAGUAAAAUCUUUUUCUUGAGAGAAAGUUAUUACAUCUGUAAGAUGUAAAAUGUAAUUUUUUUCUUUUUAAGUGCCAUACAUCAACAUAUUUUAGUGAUAAAAACAGCAGUAUUUCACUGUACAUUGAGUGUCAGUCAUUAGUCAGUUCUUUUCACUAGAUGAACCUUUUGUAGUUGUCUUUUAUUCAGUAUGUACUUUGUUGUAGUGUUUAUACUAUUCAGUUAGUGGCAUUUCCAAUGCUUAGUGAUGUACACACAUUGCUUAAAUGGACUACUGUAAGUUUGGAUACUGUAUAUAUCAAGUGUAAAAUUUUGAGAGUUCUUUGUAACAGAUUUUUCUUUUGUUAUAAAGAAAUGAACAAAAUGCUUCAUUCAUGCAUUUAAAAUCUUCUUUUGGAAGUUGUGUGCACAUGGUGGUUGAUUUUGUACUCUGUAUUUCUUUUUCUCCUUUGGAUAGAAAAUCAAGUUAGGUUUUAUUAUACUUUAAGACUUUACAAUUUUUACGUGCAUUAGUUUUGAUAUUUAUCUUUAUGAUUUAAAUUUACAUCAAGACAGCUAUGCAUUAUUUAACUAUAUAUUGUAAGACUGCCAUUGCAGAUGAAAAAAAAUUGACGUUUGAAAUAGUUAAGUUGCUGUCAUCAUGCUUAUGAGGGGUAUCAUGAUUGGGGAUUUUUCAAUGCAUGAACUUCAAUCUAUAAAUGAAAUACUAGUAAUUGCAUACAAAACACCUUUGGGAUAUCAUUAUUUGGAAUUGAUAUGAGUUGUGUGUCUUUGUUUGAAAUUAAGGUGCAUGCGUGAAAGUUUGGGCAACAUCAUUUUUUUUAACUAGAAAAUGUCAAGAUUAUCCAUCAUUAUGAAAUUUUUUGCUUCAUUGCAGCACAUUUAGCCACACAAUCUGUGAUUCAAAGCAAAUGUCCACAUACGAAAAUGUCAUAUUUACAAAGAACAGCACACUUUUUACUUUAAGUACGGUUCUACAUGUAAAUGCACAACCAACUUUAGGCUAUAGUUUGAAAGUUUUAUGAUGUUUCAAAGUGACAUAUGUAUUUGGAUGAUGUCAAUCAAGAGUCCUCGAACCAUGACUGUAUUCAGAAGUGAGUUGGAAGAUAAAGAACAUUGCAUAAUUAUUUGUUUUUCCCUAUUUGAACUUACAUUGUAUUUUUUUUAUUUUAUUUCCUAAUAUAUAAGAUUUGUUUUUGCAGUUUUGGGUACUAUUUCAGAUUUUGUUGGGGAUUUAUUUAUCAGUAAUAAAGAUAUAU